UUUUUUUUUUUUUUUUUUUUUAUGGCCACACCUGGGACAUAUGGAAGUUCCCAGACUAGGGGUUCAAUCAAAGCUGCAGCUGCCAGCCUACACCACAGCCAUGGCAAUCCCAGAUCCAAGCCCCAUGUUCAAUCUUCACCAUAGCUCGUGGCAACGCUGGAUCCUUAACCCACUGAGUGAGGCCAGGGAUCAAACCCGAAUCCUCACAGACACUAUGUCAGGUUCUUAACCUGCGGAGCCACAAAAGGAACUCCAAGAAACAAACUAAACUAUUGAUUUAGUGUCCUUCAACACUACAUUUGUUUUCCAUUUGGACUUAAUAACACCUCACAUGUAUAAAUGAUUCACAAAGGAAAGACAAGUCAUUGACAGUUUACUAUCGUGGGAAUCAGAACCAGUGAUCACACAAUGCUUUUAAUUCUUAUCAUAUUACUAAAAUUUUAUCAGAAACAGAUGUCAGCAAUACAAUUUUGAUGGAAUUAGUUAACUUUUCUUUCACUUUCAUAAUAAAUUAAGCAUUGCUCAGUUGAAAAGUUAUAAUGUCAUAAGCCUUCAGGCAGUGUUAGGUGCUAUAAUUUAAACCUGUGCAGUGCAGAAUUUUUAUGCUAUUGGGAAAAAUUUGUUAGCUUCAUUAUUGAUAAAUUGUUUAAGUGGAAAAGUGUCAGGUUCUUUUAAAACUUUUAAUCAGUUAAAUAUCUAAGGAAACUAAUAAAAUAAUUCAAAGAUCUUUAGGUGUACAAUUAAUAUAGCAAUAUAUAAAUUAGCAAUAUAGCAGUAAAGUAGGGAGAAAAAAUAGCCAUUAAUAUGACUGGCAAAGAACAAGUCAGACAGAUGGUUUUAUGUCCUUGUUCACCCACUAAGUUUAUCUCUACCUAGAUAAUCUACACUUAAAUUUCCUAAAUAAAUGGGGAAAAGGGCAAAAAGGAAAAUAAAUAAAUACAUGAAGAGGAUGGAUAGAUAAAUAAAAUCUGAUACAAACAACAAUGGACUAUUACCCCACCAUAAAAAGAAAGGAAAUCUUGGUAUAUGCUACAAAAUGGAUGAACACUGAAGACAGCACACUAAGUGAAAUAAGCGAAUCACAAAAAGACCAAUACCUGAUAAUUCCACUUUUAUGAGUCUUACAAAGUAGUCAAAAUCAUAGAAACAGAAAGUGGAAUAGUGGGUACUAGGUUAGAAGGUGAAGUUGGGGAAUUGACAGCUGUUUAAUAGGUAUAGUUUCAGGUUUGCAAGAUAAAAAAAGUUCUGGAGAUCUGUUACACAACAAAACGCAUAUUCUUACCACCACUGGACUGUACACAUAAAAAUGGUUAAGAUGGUAAAUUUUAUGUUAUGUGUUUUUUAACAAUGAAGAGUGAAAAUAAAAAUCUUCUGGCAAAAUUUUUUCUCAGAGGCAAAGAAAUCUUGCAGGUAGAAUGCAUUUGUUAUAUGUUGCAACUUUAAGAAAGCCAUAGGUUUUAAUAUCUGAUGUUCAGUGCACGUGAUAAAGCGGCUCUCUCUGUAUCAGUUCCAACAAUCAAACUGAUUUCACAGAACUAGUCCCUCAGCCAUACAUAUCCACCCCUUCUCCCACCAGAAUUCUAGGGUUCUAAACAAAGACCUUUUGUGCUCGAAGCCCUUCACCAAUAUAGUUAGUCCCCAGCAUACAACCCGCCAUCCAGGAAUGGUCAGCCAAGACACCACAUCAUUUCUCCUUCCUUCCUCUCUGCUCUUUCCCACUGCCACUCAAGAAGCCCCUGCUGCCUGGGAACACCACUCUCCUUCCCUCCUCAAAAAUGAAGAAGAAAUUAAGACAUACUCAGACAGACAAUAACUGAAAGAACUCCUUGCUAGCAGACCUGCCCCAUAAGGAAUAUUACAUGGAGAUUUUCAGGUUGAAAUGAAAAGACGCUGGACAGUACCUUGAAGUCACACAAUGAAAUAAAGAACACAGUAAAGGCAAUGACAUAAAUAAAUCUAAACAAUAUAAAUUUAUUUAUUGUUUGUAACUCUAUAUGACAUUUCAACCAUGAAUUUAAAUUAAAAGCCAAAAAAAAAAAAAAAAAAAAGUAAGAUUACACUAGGUAAAGAGUGGUGGACCUGUUUCCAGAAGUGGGCUUUUUAUUUCUAGACUAGAGACAGUAAAGAGAUAAAUAAAAUGUAAUAGGAGCAUCUUUGAAAAGAAAAUGCUUCAAAACAAACCUGUAGUGGAUGAACGACAGACUACAUACAUGUCCUAGACAUACAGUUACACUUAUGAUUGAUAGUCUGGUUCAAUGCGGUUUUAAAACCAUAACUUGUUCAUUUUACCUCCUUGAUUAUCUCUUAAACCUGAUCCUUUCUAUCAUUCCAGCUAAUACCUUAAUCCAGGUUGUCAUCACUUCUCACUUGGAUUACUAGGAGCUUCCUAAUGGGUCUUUCUCAUUUUAGUCCUGCUCCAUCCUAAUCCAUUUCCUACCUGGCUGCCACUGGCGAUGUAACAACAACAACAACAACAAUCAGAUUCCACCACCCUGCUUUAAUUUUUCCAAUGGCUCCCCAUAAUCUUCAGAGGAAAGAAAUGAAAACACCCAGGAUAAAAUGCAAGGCUUCGUGACAUGACUGCUACUUUUCUUUCUCGAAUCUACACUAGCACAUAUGAUCUAUACCCAAUGAUCCUCAGGAGCUACUCAGGAUCCCAAAAUGUACCUCUAUGUCUCCCUUUACACAUGCUACCUUCUCUGGUUAGAAAAACCUUACCUUAUACUACAACCUCAGAUCUACUCCAUUUCUUUUUCUUCAGGCAUCAACACCUACCUACACCUAUCCUAACUGCCAAUAAUGCUAUUUUAUCAUUAACUAUACAUAAAUUACCACAGUACUUGUCAAAGGGUACUAUAAACACUUGUUUGCCAAUGUAUCUCUCAGACAGUCUGUAAGCUAUUUAAGUAUAAGGAUUGUCAUUUUAUUUCUAUUUUUUCUUUUACUCCUAUUUUUUUACCCCUACAUAUACACACAGUGCUGGCAUGGAGUAGGUGGUUAAUAAAUGUUUGAAAAAUGCAUCAAAGGAUGAAGCAAGUUGUACAUUAACAGACCUAGGAAAAAGCCAUUCAAUUUUUGCUUUCUAUAACCAAACCAAAUAUCUGAAGUAAUAAACUAAUAAAACUGAAAUGCCAACAUUAAUUUUAACUAAUUCUCUAAUCAGUAAAAAUAAGUAAAUAAACAAUAUAAUGCAGUUCUUAAUUUUUACGGCACAUUCUUCAAAACAUUUUCUUCUACAAGAAAAUGGGACCCAGUGAAAAUAUGGACACUCUCCUCAAAAGUUUUACAAUCAAAAAAUGACUUUCUUACAAAUAGUGAGCCGGAAUCCCCAAGUAACCACACAGUAAAUUAAACAACAUGACCUAUGAUUCAUAUGUAGCCAAGAUAUAUUAACCUUGCUUUAUCUUACAGUAAAAAUUAACAGUAUUAGAGAGAUUGCUUUAUUUUUCCAGAAGACCUAAAAAUGUAUAACAUGUUAUAUCUUGGGGUAUAUUUCUAAAAGAAAGGUCCCAUAGUCUGUAUUACUGGCUCCCUUAGAUUCAGCUUUUCCCGACAUAUAAAACAGAGUUAACAAUUGCAGGAUGGACUGUGAAUCUGGGGUUAAUAGAUGCAAACUACUGCCUUCGGAACAGAUAAGCAAUGAGAUCCUCCUCUUAGCACCAGGAACUUUAUCUACUCACUUAUGCCAGAGCAUGAUGGAGGAUGAGGUGAGAAAAAGAAUGUAUGUGUGACUGGGUCUCUCUGCUGUACUGUAGAAAAUUGACAGAACAAUGUAAACCAGCUAUAAUGCGAAAAAUAAAAAUCAUUUUUAAAAAUUGUACCUCCACCACUAAGACUAUUGAAAGGACCAGAAUUCAUGUAUUCCACAUAGAACAAUGCCUAGUACCUACUAAAAACACAGUAAAUGUCAAGGUAUUAUUAUUAGGAUAAUUAUUAUAAUACCCAAGAUCCCAAAAGUUAACAAGUAAAAUGUCUACAAAUGAAAAAAGAGUAAACCACUUAGAUCAAUCUACAUUUAUUAAGAUAGCCACCUGGAGUUCUCAUCAUGAACUCAGCAGUUAGUGAACCUGACUAGCAUCCAUGAGGAUGUGGGUUUGACCCCUGGCCUCGCUCAGGGUUAAGGAUCCAGUGUUGCUGUGAGCUGUGGUGUAGAUCACAGACAUGGCUUGGAUCCUGAGUUGGGGUGCCUGUGGUGCAGGCCACCAGCUACAGUUUCAAUUGGACCCCUAGCCUGGGAACCUCCAUAUGCUGUGGAUGUGCCCUAAAAGAUAAAAAGAUAAAAAUAAAAAAGAUAGCCAUCAAACCUAUUCCCAAUUCUUUUUGCUGAUUCCUAUUUAACUGAAGAAAGAUUUCACUAGUAUUCUUCUAUAGAUUCACUCCUAGGUCACUCCACAAAUAAAGUAGUAUGGGAGUUUCCGUUGUGGCUCAGCAGGUUAAGAAUCUGACUAGUAUCCAUGAUGAUGCAGGUUUAAUAAGUGGCCUCACUCUAUGGGUUAAAGAUCCAGUGUUACCACAAGCUGCUGUAGGUUGCAGAUGUGGCUUGCAUCCCAUGUUGCUGUAGCUGUGGUGUAGGCCGGCAGCUACAGCUUUGACUCGACCCCUACCCUGGGAACUUCCAUAUGCCACAGGUUUAGCCCUAAGAAGAAAAAAUAGGGAGUUCCCAUCAUAGCUCAGCAGUUAAAAAACCCGACUAGCAUCCAUAAGGACUCGGGUUCGAUCCCUGGCCUCGCUCAUGAUCCUGUGUUGCUGUGGCUGUGGUGUAGGCCGGUGGUUACAGCUUCGACUGGACCCCUAGCCUGGGAACCUCCAUAUGCCUCGGGUGUGGCCGUAAAAAGACAAAAAGACCAAAAAACAAAAACAAAAAAAAAUAGAAAAAAGAAAAAAAUAAAUAAAGUGCUAUGAAAAUACAGCAACAAACAACGAAAACAAAAAUCAGCACUUAAUCUAUAACCCUGGACUCUAAUGGAACUGAUUAAAUGCUAUCAGAGUCUGGGUCUCCAUUCUUCAUCUGUCCAAAGGCAACUGUAGCACCUAUCCAAUCUUAUAGGGUUAACCGUGAGGACUAAAGAAAAUAAUUUAUGCGUAGAACUGGCUGCUAGACAAACAUAAAUUAUAAUAUUUAUGAAAACAUUUCAUAAACAUUAGUUAAUAAUGCUCUUGCUAU
rnacentral:lncRNA from 1 species